GACGAACGCUGGCGGCGUGCUUAACACAUGCAAGUCGAGCGAUGAAGUUCCUUCGGGAACGGAUUAGCGGCGGACGGGUGAGUAACACGUGGGUAACCUGCCUCAUAGAGGGGAAUAGCCUUCCGAAAGGAAGAUUAAUACCGCAUAAGAUUGUAGUACCGCAUGGUACAGCAAUUAAAGGAGUAAUCCGCUAUGAGAUGGACCCGCGUCGCAUUAGCUAGUUGGUGAGGUAACGGCUCACCAAGGCGACGAUGCGUAGCCGACCUGAGAGGGUGAUCGGCCACAUUGGGACUGAGACACGGCCCAGACUCCUACGGGAGGCAGCAGUGGGGAAUAUUGCACAAUGGGGGAAACCCUGAUGCAGCAACGCCGCGUGAGUGAUGACGGUCUUCGGAUUGUAAAACUCUGUCUUCAGGGACGAUAAUGACGGUACCUGAGGAGGAAGCCACGGCUAACUCCGUGCCAGCAGCCGCGGUAAAAC
rnacentral:rRNA from 1 species